rnacentral:lncRNA from 1 species
UGACCUCGUGAUCUGCCCACCUCGGCCUCCCAAAGUGCUGGGAUUACAGGCGGAAGCCACUGCGCUGGGCCUAUCUCCCUCUUAAAAGGGCCGUUGGGAUUAUUUUAAGUCCACCUGGAGAGCCCAGGAUGCUCUUCUCAUCUCAAAGUCCUUAAUCACAGCAAUGAUAUCUCUUUUGCUGUAUUUUCUAUAUUCAUAGUUUCAGAGAAUAAAAACGUGGACAUCUUUUGAGGUGGGGAAGCAUUAUGCUGUCUACCAUAGAUCAAAGCAAUUAGGCUGAAUGAAAAAAAGCCAUCCUCAAAUGUUAUCUAGUCAUGACUCCAUUUAUACAGCAAAAUACCUGUUUGUUAACAAAAAAGACAAAACUCAAAAAUGUAGCUCAGAUCUGCUAAAUGGAUUUUAGGUUUAGGCAAAUUCAACCACCUUGCCACAGGUAAUCCCAGCAAGAAGUUGCAGAUACAAACUUGAGCUUUCUGCAGUCAGAUUCAUUCCCCAGAGAAAGGCAGGAGAAACUGAGCUCCACAUUCCAAGGUUUUCCAAUCUGCUAAUUACUCCACCUCUCAAGAUACAUUAGUGCGUUAUGCCAACUGGGUGCCCCUUGCAUGAAAAGAAAUAAAAGAUAUAGGGAAGAACUAUUCCUUUUAACAAUUGUAUUGUUUAAUUUUGUUUAGGCUUAGCAGUGCAUGAGACUCUUAUACUUUUUGAAGGUUGUACAUAUUUCACAAUAAAAUUAAAAUUCGAAAUAAUCAAGAGAAGGCCCUAAGACUGUAAGAAGUACGUUCAUUGUGGAGGGCUUUCAUGACAAUUCUAAAUUUGGGACUUUUGAGGGUAUAAAAUGGAAAGCAAUUGAGACUUUGUAAUCGAGGAAGUAACAAGUUCAGAGCUGCAUUGGGAGAUGACUGCAAUGACUGUAUAAGAUAAGGAUGAAUACCGAGGGUGUAUAACAAGAUCAGCGAGAAGAGGAUUGCCAUUGUUCCACCUGGACCAGAGCCUAGCGGGAGAAAAACAAGCAGGGCCAGGGUGCAACAGCGGCUGGACAGGGAGAAAGCAGCAGUCAAGGAGCAUUCAGGGCACAAGGACUGUCCGUAAGUGGAAGCAUCUACUGAGGCUUAGACGAAUAUAACCAUGAAUAUCAAUAAGAUCCUUGAUCCUUCUCAGCAUAGAAAGUUCAAUCUACAGCUGGAGUGGGAGACAGAGGGAUCCAGACUGACCAAACCAUCAUCUUCAACACGUGGCUCUGGGGGUUAUCCUGGGAUCCUGGGAGACAACAUCCAGCUGACACUAAGUCCCUCUUCUGUAGGGCUCCUGCAGUUUUCCAGGGGUUCACUUCAGGUCCUAUUCAUCUGGUUCGCCCCCUCACUUGGAGAUGUCACUCAAGGAAGCUGGAGAACAGCAAAGGUGGAUGCCUGCUCCUUCUUCUGGGAUCUCGGACCUCGACGGGCACCAAUCUGAUGCCUGUAGGAUUGCUCCCCUGCCCUGUUCUGUUCUGUCCUUGAGCCUCUGGUUGGAGCUAUUGGAGUUCCUGCAGGGAAGCCCCAACCAAUGAGGAAGGAUGGGUCAGGGUCAGGCCUGAAGAGGUGCCCUGGCUGCAGCCUGCCACAGCCAGUGUGUUGCACUUUAGGGGACACAUCUUGAGACUAAGCCCUCCAGCCUCCCUGGCUUUAGCAGGGGAAAGUGCAGCCAGGAGCUGUAGAGAUGGAUGCUGUCCUUCCCCUGCCCAGGGGGCUUAGCAUGUUAGUUGCCAGACCCAGUGCUGGCUGCUGCUCCUCCCCCAAGGAGUUCAAAGGGCUUAGACAGCAUACAGCCGCAGCAUUGGUGCCGGUUUCCCCUUCCGCUGGGAGUUCAGUAGGCUCCAGCUGAGAGGCUGUUGAGAAUCUGCACAGCUCCAGGGUUGGGAUGCUAGGCCCUGGUGGCGUGGGUUCGCAAGUGGAAUCUGAUCCAUGAGUUGCACAAUUCCGUGGUAACAGCACGGUUUCCUUGGCUGGGUAGCAUGCUCACUCGCUGCCUUCCUUGGCUCGGGAGAGGGGGCUCCCCUGCCCGUGUGGCUCUCAGACAGGCUUCCGCACCACACUGUUCUUCCUCUCUAUGGAUCGCACCAGCCUUCUAGUCAGUUCUGAUGAGAGAACCUGGAUACCUUGCUUGCCAGGGAGGGAUUCACAUGCUUAUUAUGGUACUUUUUUGAGAAAAUUUAAACUUUAUCAAUUUUGUCUCUUUAAUAUGAAAAUUGGGAAAAAAUUAUAAAAGUUAAAGCUUCUCUAGGGCUGAGGUUGUUAUUUGUCAUUCAAUCUGUCUAUCUGCAAAUACAAUGCAUGAUCAUCCUGGGUAUUCUGCAAAUGUUUACUCAUUGAAAAAAUAAAUUCCAUCUUAUAUCCCUUCCUCCUUCUUCAUACAAAUAUAUUGAUGUAAUAGUUGCUUAUUAAAUAUUUCAUUGACUUUUUAAUGAA